AUUGAACGCUGGCGGAAUGCUUUACACAUGCAAGCCGAACGGCAGCACGGACUUCGGUCUGGUGGCGAGUGGCGAACGGGUGAGUAAUGUAUCGGAACGUGCCCAGUCGUGGGGGAUAACGUAGUGAAAAUUACGCUAAUACCGCAUACGAUCUAUGGAUGAAAGCGGGGGAUCGCAAGACCUCGCGCGAUUGGAGCGGCCGAUAUCAGAUUAGGUAGUUGGUGGGGUAAAGGCCCACCAAGCCAACGAUCUGUAGCUGGUCUGAGAGGACGACCAGCCACACUGGAACUGGAGCACGGUCCAGACGCCGACGGGAGGCGGCAGUGGGUAAUUUUGGACAAUGGGCGAAAGCCUGAUCCAGCCAUUCCGCGUGCAGGAUGAAGGCCCUCGGGUUGUAAACUGCUUUUGUACAGAACGAAAAGGUUUCUACUAAUACUAGGAGCUCAUGACGGUACUGUAAGAAUAAGCACCGGCUAACUACGUGCCAGCCGCCGCGGUAA
rnacentral:rRNA from 1 species